ACCGCAGUAGGCUUCCUCUAAGUAGGCCUGAAGCUCCUCCAGUGAAGCCUCUGCCUUUCCAAAGUGCCUCAGCCCUGCAGAGACACACACAGUGAGCUGUGGUAACACCCACAUGUGUCCAUCCACAGCUGUUAUUUACCGGAGGUGUUGAGUGGUCCUGUCAUGCUGCCCCUCAGCACGUUGAUCUCUGGGACACUGUCAGAAACCGGCAGUAGGGGGUUGAUUUUAGCAGCCUUGUGUCCAUGUGCUCUGUAAGCCUCCACCAGCCGAGCCACACCAUGAUCUGAGCACAGAGCGAGAGGCUGUCAGCCGUCAAAGUGACAACAACAACAAAACAACAAGAAUGACAAGAACUCUAACAACUCCAUCUGAGUGACUGAAUGACACGUUUACAAAGAAAUGAGACUGUAAAGUGCUUAUUAAAAGGACAAAACAAACACGAAUAAAGACACGCGUUUCAGGCAGA